AUGCGUGUCAAAACUCUUGUUGAUGAGUUGCGAGACUUAGAGUUUGAGGUAUCCGAUGAGCUCCUCCUCUCCAUGCUGACAACCGGUCUCAGUGAGGUCCUUAGCAACGCCGCCUCCAGAAUACUGCUGACCAUGCCGUCCUUCGAGAAGGUUGUGGCGUACCUUCACCUUGAGGAGCGCCGGUUGAAGCAGUUGCGCUCUCACGUGGUUCACACCGCAUUCGCCGCUGGUCUCUCCCGCGGCCCCCUGCUCCGCCACCUACGGUGCCACAGUCGUAACCUCCGGUGCCCCCCGUGCACUACCCGCCUCAAUCAGCACCCAUUGGGCAGGCGCCUCCAGACCACAACCUCCAGCUUCGGGGCGCCUCUAGACCGCAACCUCCAGCAUCGGGGCAACCACGGGGGCAAUGAUGGUUAG
rnacentral:rRNA from 1 species